rnacentral:rRNA from 1 species
UACGUAGGGUGCGAGCGUUAAUCGGAAUUACUGGGCGUAAAGCGUGCGCAGGCGGUUUUGUAAGCCAGAUGUGAAAGCCCCGGGCUUAACCUGGGAAUGGCAUUUGGGACUGCAAGGCUGGAGUGCGGCAGAGGAGACUGGAAUUCCUGGUGUAGCGGUGAAAUGCGCAGAUAUCAGGAGGAACACCGGUGGCGAAGGCGGGUCUCUGGGCCGUAACUGACGCUGAGGAGCGAAAGCAUGGGGAGCGAACAGG